rnacentral:rRNA from 1 species
UGGGGAAUAUUGGACAAUGGGCGAAAGCCUGAUCCAGCCAUGCCGCGUGAGUGAUGAAGGCCUUAGGGUUGUAAAGCUCUUUCAGUGGGGAAGAUAAUGCCGGUACCCACAGAAGAAGCCCCGGCUAACUUCGUGCCAGCAGCCGCGGUAAUACGGAGGGGGCUAGCGUUGUUCGGAAUUACUGGGCGUAAAGCGCACGUAGGCGGCGAUUUAAGUCAGAGGUGAAAGCCCGGGGCUCAACCCCGGAACUGCCUUUGAGACUGGAUUGCUUGAACAUCGGAGAGGUGAGUGGAAUUCCGAGUGUAGAGGUGAAAUUCGUAGAUAUUCGCAAGAACACCAGUGGCGAAGGCGGCUCACUGGCCCGGUACUGACGCUGAGGCACGAAAGCGUGGGGAGCAAAC